CCUACGGGUGGCUGCAGUGGGGAAUAUUGGACAAUGGGCGAAAGCCUGAUCCAGCCAUGCCGCGUGUGUGAAGAAGGCCUUCGGGUUGUAAAGCACUUUCAGUGGGGAAGAAAGCCUUGGGGCUAAUACCCUCGAGGAAGGACAUCACCCACAGAAGAAGCACCGGCUAACUCCGUGCCAGCAGCCGCGGUAAUACGGAGGGUGCGAGCGUUAAUCGGAAUUACUGGGCGUAAAGCGCGCGUAGGCGGUCUGAUAAGCCGGUUGUGAAAGCCCCGGGCUCAACCUGGGAACGGCAUCCGGAACUGUCAGGCUAGAGUGCAGGAGAGGAAGGUAGAAUUCCCGGUGUAGCGGUGAAAUGCGUAGAGAUCGGGAGGAAUACCAGCGGCGAAGGCGGCCUUCUGGACUGACACUGACGCUGAGGUGCGAAAGCGUGGGUAGCAAACAGGAUUAGAUACCCGAGUAGUC
rnacentral:rRNA from 1 species